UUUUUCUACCGGGGAAAAAACUAGCAUAUCAAUAAGCGGAGGAAAAGAAACUAACAAGGAUUCCCUAGUAACGGCGAGUGAAGAGGGAAGAGCUCAAAUUUGAAAUCUGGUGGCUACGGUCAUCCGAGUUGUAAUCUAGAGAAGUGUUUUCCGUGCUGGACCGUGUACAAGUCCUUUGGAACAAGGCGUCAUAGAGGGUGAGAAUCCCGUCUACGACACGGACUACCAGUGCUCUGUGAUACACUCUCAACGAGUCGAGUUGUUUGGGAAUGCAGCUCAAAAUGGGUGGUAAAUUCCAUCUAAAGCUAAAUAUGGGCGAAAGACCGAUAGCGAACAAGUACCGUGAGGGAAAGAUGAAAAGCACUUUGGAAAGAGAGUUAAACAGUACGUGAAAUUGUUGAAAGGGAAACGCUUGAAGUCAGUCGCGUCUUCAGAAAUUCAGCUUGGCUUCUGCCUCGUGUACUUUUCUGUUGGACGGGCCAGCAUCAGUUUUGACCGCCAGAAAAAGGUGAGAGGAAGGUGGCACCUCCGGGUGUGUUAUAGCCUCUUAUCGUAUGUGGCGGUUGGGACUGAGGAUCGCAGCACGCCUUCAUGGCCGGGGUUCGCCCACGUAACGUGCUUAGGAUGCUGGCGUAAUGGCUUUAAGCGACCCGUCUUGAAACACGGACCAAGGAGUCUAACAUGCCUGCGAGUAUUUGGGUGGUAAACCCAUAUGCGGAAUGAAAGUGAACAGUUGGGACUUCUGUCAUGGAAGGCACCGACGCCCGGACCAGACCCAUUGGUGACGGAUCCGAGGUAGAGCAUGUAUGUUGGGACCCGAAGAUGGUGAACUAUGCCUGAGUAGGGUGAAGCCAGAGGAAACUCUGGUGGAGGCUCGUAGCGAUUCUGACGUGCAAAUCGAUCGUCGAACUUGGGUAUAGGGGCGAAAGACUAAUCGAACCAUCUAGUAGCUGGUUCCUGCCGAGCCUCCUCUCCCCGCGGUGGUUUUGGCCCACUUU
rnacentral:rRNA from 1 species